UACGUAGGGACCGAGCGUUGUCCGGAAUCAUUGGGCGUAAAGAGCGUGUAGGCGGCCACUUAAGUCCUGCGUGAAAUCUUGCGGCUCAACCGCAAGCGGUCGUGGGAAACUGGGUGGCUAGAGUGCGGGAGAGGAGAGUGGAAUUCCUGGUGUAGCGGUGGAAUGCGCAGAUAUCAGGAAGAACACCCGUGGCGAAGGCGGCUCUCUGGAACGCAACUGACGCUGAGACGCGAAAGCGUAGGGAGCAAACAGG
rnacentral:rRNA from 1 species